rnacentral:rRNA from 1 species
GACGAACGCUGGCGGCGUGCUUAACACAUGCAAGUCGAACGGUAAGGCCCUUCGGGGUACACGAGUGGCGAACGGGCGAGUAACACGUGGGUGAUCUGCCCUGCACUUCGGGAUAAGCCUGGGAAACUGGGUCUAAUACCGGAUAGGACUCCGGACUGCAUGGUCUGGGGUGGAAAGCUUUUGCGGUGUGGGAUGGGCCCGCGGCCUAUCAGCUUGUUGGUGGGGUGAUGGCCUACCAAGGCGACGACGGGUAGCCGGCCUGAGAGGGUGACCGGCCACACUGGGACUGAGCUACGGCCCAGACUCCUGCGGGAGGCAGCAGUGGGGAAUAUUGCACAAUGGGCGCAAGCCUGAUGCAGCGACGCCGCGUGAGGGAUGACGGCCUUCGGGUUGUAAACCUCUUUCAGCAUCGACGAAGCGAAAGUGACGGUAGGUGCAGAAGAAGGACCGGCCAACUACGUGCCAGCCGCCGCAGUAA